AUCUAUUUAGUAUAAAUAAUAUAAUUGACCUCCAAUCAAAAGAUCUUAAAUAUAAGAAUAGAUA
rnacentral:tRNA from 1 species